rnacentral:rRNA from 1 species
AUUGAACGCUGGCGGCAGGCCUAACACAUGCAAGUCGAGCGAGCGGCGGACGGGUGAGUAAUGUCUGGGAAACUGCCCGAUGGAGGGGGAUAACUACUGGAAACGGUAGCUAAUACCGCAUACCAUCAGAUGUGCCCAGAUGGGAUUAGCGAGUAGGUGGGGUAAUGGCUCACCUAGGCGACGAUCCCGAGCUGGUCUGAGAGGAUGAGCAGCCACACGGGAACGGAGAAACGGUCCAGACUCCUACGGGAGGCAGCAGUGGGGAAUAUUGCACAAUGGGCGCAAGCCUGAUGCAGCCAUGCCGCGUGUGUGAAGAAGGCCUUCGGGUUGUAAAGCACUUUCAGCGGGGAGGCGUUACCCGCAGAAGAAGCACCGGCUAACUCCGUGCCAGCAGCCGCGGUAAUAC